GAUGAAGAACGUAGCGAAAUGCGAUAAGUAAUGUGAAUUGCAGAAUCCAGUGAAUCACCGAAUCUUUGAACGCACAUUGCGCCCGCCAGCAUUCUGGCGGGCAUGCCUGUUCGAGCGUCAUUUCAACCCUCGACCUCCCCUUGGGGAGGUCGGCGUUGGGGACCGGCAGCACACCGCCGGCCCUGAAAUGGAGUGGCGGCCCGUCUGCGGCGACCUCUGCGUAGUAAUACAGCUCGCACCGGAACCCCGACGCGGCCACGCCGUAAAACACCCAACUUCUGAACGUUGACCUCGAAUCAGGUAGGACUACCCGCUGAACUUAAGCAUAUCAAUAAGCGGAGGA
rnacentral:misc_RNA from 1 species